GCCUGGUGCACUGGUGUGUGCCUGUAGUCCCAGCUACUCAGGAGACUGAGGCAGGAGGAUCGCUUGAAUCUAGAAGUUCUGGGCUAUAGUGCACUAUGAUGAUGGGAUAUCCACACCAAGUUUGGCAUCACCACAGUGUCCUUCCAGGAGCGGGGUGCCCCAUUGCUCAGGGAGGGGUGAACCCGCUCAGGUUAGAAACAGAGCAGGUCAAAACUCCUGUGCUGAUCAUUAGUGGGAUUAUGCCUGCACUCCAGCCUGGGCAGCAUAAUGAAAUGCUGUCUUUU
rfam:Homo sapiens chromosome 3, GRCh38 reference primary assembly.